rnacentral:rRNA from 1 species
UACGGGGGGGGCAAGCGUUGUUCGGAAUUACUGGGCGUAAAGGGUUCGUAGGUGGCCAACUAAGUCAGACGUGAAAUCCCUCAGCUUAACUGGGGAACUGCGUCUGAGACUGGAUGGCUUGAGUGCAGGAGAGGAACGCGGAAUUCCAGGUGUAGCGGUGAAAUGCGUAGAUAUCGAGAGGAACACCUGCGGCGAAGGCGGGUUGCUGGGCUGACACUGACGCUGAUGCGCGAAAGCCAGGGGAGCGAACGGG